AAGGCUUUAAGUUAAACUAAACUAAUAACCUUCAAAGCUAAUAAUAAAGAAAAUUCUUUAAGCCUUA
rnacentral:tRNA from 1 species